rnacentral:rRNA from 1 species
GGUUGCAACCGCCUCGUUAUUAACUCAAAUAACUUGGAGGUCAUUGAAACCAUGAACAACAGAGGAUGGACGGCGAGUACAGCGGUGGCAGUGUCUGACGAUUGUUAUUUUUUGGCUUGUGAUUUUCCCAUUACUAGAUUCGAGCACUGUAAUAGGGAAGCCAAUAAAGUUUCCCAUGAACUUGCUAAGUCAGCUAGAUUUUCUCCAACCUUUGACUGGUUUGAGAAGCCUUUGAGUGAAAUUGUAUUCCUCCUCAUAAACGAUGUAGUUGUUAUUGCAAAUGAAUAA